rnacentral:rRNA from 1 species
UACGUCAUGCCCCUUAUGACCUGGGCUACACACGUGCUACAAUGGUUGGUACAACGAGUUGCGAGUCGGUGACGGCGAGCUAAUCUCUUAAAGCCAAUCUCAGUUCGGAUUGUAGGCUGCAACUCGCCUACAUGAAGUCGGAAUCGCUAGUAAUCGCGGGUCAGCAUGCCGCGGUGAAUACGUUCCCGGGCCUC